AGUAGGAUUACUGGGUCAUAUGGUAAGUAUAUGGUUAGAAGAAACUGCCAAAUCAUUUUCCAACGUGGCUGUACCAUUUUGCAUUCCCAUCAGCAGU
rnacentral:pre_miRNA from 1 species